GGUAACGUUUUUCCCGGAAGUGAAAAUUAAAUCUACAUUUCCUUUACCAAUGACUUUGGAUCGAACUUCGUUGCCCAUUUGAAUCUCUUGAUCUCCAUCCAUUUCAUGAUAGGUCUUGAAUAAAGAUUUAUCAUAUGAUACAUGCACCGUAGCACAAGUAUCAUACCACCACCCGGGAACCUUUCCCUUAAUUUCAUUUAUCUCGCUCA
rnacentral:lncRNA from 1 species